rnacentral:lncRNA from 1 species
CUAAAUAAUCUUCCGAUCUUCUUGAUUUUACAUAAGCAAUAGUGAAUUCUUCAUAAUUCUAAAACACGGGAUUUGUGAGAUUAGCUCAUGAGCAAUAAAUCGGGCUUUGUUGGGGCCCUAUGUUUGACCAUUUUUACUAGCAAUUAUCGUGCUUAGCGUAUUUUGCUUGAGCUCCGUUUUGCACUCCGAUAUGUAUGAGCUAUGUUUUGCAUUCAUUAAUUGUGCACUAAUCCCG